UACGUAGGGGGCAAGCGUUGUCCGGAAUCAUUGGGCGUAAAGAGCGUGUAGGCGGCUCGAUAAGUCUGCUGUGAAAGUCCAGGGCUCAACCCUGGAAGGCCGGUGGAAACUGUCGGGCUAGAGUUCGGAAGAGGCGAGUGGAAUUCCCGGUGUAGCGGUGAAAUGCGCAGAUAUCGGGAGGAACACCAAUGGCGAAGGCAGCUCGCUGGGACGUUACUGGCGCUGAGACGCGAAAGCGUGGGGAGCAAACAGG
rnacentral:rRNA from 1 species